GCGUGGGCGGCGGGGGCCGCGCCGCGCCAUGGCCCAGCAGCAGAUGAGCAGCUCGCAGAAGGCGCUGAUGCUGGAGCUGAAGUCGCUGCAGGAGGAGCCGGUGGAGGGCUUCCGCAUCACCCUGGUCGACGAGUCCGACCUCUACAACUGGGAGGUGGCGAUCUUCGGACCCCCCAACACCCUCUACGAGGGCGGGUACUUCAAGGGAAUACCUGUAAGAGAAGAGAAGAGAAGAGAAGAGAAAAGAAAACUCAGUCCUCCUUGGACCAGUUUUUGUAAAAAGGAACUAUUUAUUCAUCCAACUCCUUAUCUGGCAUGAUGCCACGAGUAGUAAUAAUGGAGAAGUCUGGAACAUGUUUUUUCCAAAAUAACAAUAAACCCAAAGCAUGAUGGAGCUCCUUUUUACUCCUCAGCAACUUUACUUGCUCUAGGGUGGUCAAGGUUUCAGAGGAAAUACACACUGCUCCUCCUUUCCAUGAUAUACCUAGGAACUUAAUAUCAGAGGAGAAAAAUUGUACUUUUUUUGUGAGAAUUUGAAGUCUCAGACUUUCCAAGUGGGUGAUAGUGUUUGUCUGAGUCUGGUCCACUGUGGUGACCUCAGCAAUAUGGGCAAUCAAUUCAGUUUUGUUAUGUACAGCAGCCAUUUUUGAGUCAGUGUCAGCAUUGAGGUAACUAACUGUCAGUUGCCACUGCCCAUCAGGUUUAUGGACAGUUCAUACAGGAGAACUAUAUGGUGAGUGUAUAGGGACAACCACCCCUUGCUCCUGCAACUCUGCAAUUUCUGGAGCAAUUCCUUCACGGGUUCCUAAAGGGAGUGGGUGGGGGUUUACAUUUGUUGUUUUGUGGAGACAGACUUGGAGCAGUUUGUAACAGACAGACAGAGGGAGAUGGGACACCAAACACCCAUUCUUGCCUUCUGUCAUCUGUCCAGGUGCAUCCCUUUAAUAGAUCCAACCCCAAGAUGUUAGUCAUUAACUGUUUCAGUCUGACAAAAGGAAAGGUUCCUUCCAUGCAUCAUGCCACUGACACUACAUGGAGUAAGUGGGUUGCCUUGAUCAGGCAGCACAUCAGAAUCAGGAACCCUAAUUGCCCUGGGAUCUUGGAGAUAAUUACAAAUUGGUCUGAGGGUGAGAAUUUUGGUGUGGCAGAUGAAGACGAAGAACAGGUGGCACAUGCUGAGGAAGCUCCACCAUACAACCAACCACCAGAGGACAAAAAGCUCUACACUCUUUUCACUGAGGGUUCCUGUCGCAUUGUAGGGAUGAACCGGAAAUGGAAAGCAGCCGUAUGGAGCCCCACACAAGUUGCAGAAGCCACAGAAGGACAAAGUGGAUCAGGUCAAGUUGCAGAGCUCAGAGCCAUCCAUCUGGCUUUGGAUAUUGCUGAACAAGAGAAGUGGCCAAGACUUUACCUCUACACUGACUCAUGGAUGGUGGCCAACACUCUGUGGGGGUGGUUGGACAGAUGGAAGAAGGCCAAUUGGCAACGUAAACCAAUCUGGGCUUCCAAAAUGUGGUGAGACACUGAAUCAUGAGAGUCUGCCCUGUAGAAGCACGUGCCCAAAAGCCAAGUAAAUGAAGAACAUUGCAACAAUGAACAGGCAGACCGAGCUGCCCAAGUCAACAUGUCGCAGUUAGACCUUGAUUGGCAGGACAAGGGAAAGUUGUUCCUAGCUCCAUGGGCCCAUGAUGCCUCAGGUCAUCAGAGAAGAGACCAAGGGGUGUAUUUAACCAUGGAUGCCAUUUCCCAGGUUAUCCAUGACUGUGAAACAUGUACUGCAAUCAAGCGGGCUAAGAAAGUAAAGCCCCGUGGUACGGUGGGUGAUGGAACAAGUAUAGAUAUGGGGAGGCCUGGUAGAUUGAUUACAUCACACCUUUGCAAACUCGCCAAGCACCUGGAACUGACUCUAACUUAUGUUAAUUGGAGCAUCUGAUUCUUCCUUUUUCUGUGAUCACACAUUGAUACUUUGAAUGUUCUGUUGGAAAGAGGCCAACUGAAAACAGAGCAGUAAACAAUCUACUCAAAUGAGGCUAAUCUCUGCACAACAAGAGUAAAGGAGCAUAUUUUGAAACUUGUCUCCUUUUGCAGGCAGCAGGCAGUGCUACUGGCAUAUUUUAAGGGCAAGAUGUGUGUUACUCCUUGUGUAAUAUCCAGUACAAUGAAGCUAUGAUUUGCUAGGUGCUCUCAAACAUGCAAAAUUAACCUAGCCCACAAAUGCAAUAAGGGUUUUGUGGCUACUACUGAGAUGCAAAAAUGAUGGUUACUGUACAGCUUGCAGCAUGCAAAUAUAAGUAAAUUUGAGCUCUCUUGAAAGCCCAGCAUACUCUGAAGGGUGGUGAUGGGUGAUUUUUUUUUUUUUUUUCUGUAACUAUACUGUAUAGGA